CCCCUCUCAGGAUCACACCUGGAGAGUUUCCAGUACUCUGCCAGUCUCGACUACGGGAGGGAGAGUCAAGCAGAAGCCUACCCACUCCAUUCCUAGCUUGGCCAGUGGCUAGUGAGAGGAAGGCCAUCCGCUACGAGU